UAGGUGACUGAUAUGUUUGGCUUU
rnacentral:siRNA from 1 species